rnacentral:rRNA from 1 species
UACGUAGGGGGCGAGCGUUGUCCGGAAUCAUUGGGCGUAAAGAGCUCGUAGGCGGUUCAGUAAGUCAGGUGUGAAAGCUCCGAGCUCAACUCGGAGGGGCCACCUGAUACUGCUGUGACUAGAAUCCAGUAGGGGAGUGUGGAACUCCUGGUGUAGCGGUGAAAUGCGCAGAUAUCAGGAAGAACACCAGCGGCGAAGGCGGCACUCUGGGCUGGAAUUGACGCUGAGGAGCGAAAGUGUGGGUAGCGAAACAGG